rnacentral:rRNA from 1 species
GACGAACGCUGGCGGCGUGCUUAACACAUGCAAGUCGAACGGAAAGGCCCUGCUUUUGUGGGGUGCUCGAGUGGCGAACGGGUGAGUAACACGUGAGUAACCUGCCCUUGACUUUGGGAUAACUUCAGGAAACUGGGGCUAAUACCGGAUAGGAGCUCCUGCUGCAUGGUGGGGGUCGGAAAGUUUCGGCGGUUGGGGAUGGACUCGCGGCUUAUCAGCUUGUUGGUGGGGUAGUGGCUUACCAAGGCUUUGACGGGUAGCCGGCCUGAGAGGGUGACCGGCCACAUUGGGACUGAGAUACGGCCCAGACUCCUACAGGAGGCAGCAGUGGGGAAUAUUGCACAAUGGGCGGAAGCCUGAUGCAGCAACGCCGCGUGCGGGAUGACGGCCUUCGGGUUGUAAACCGCUUUCGCCUGUGACGAAGCGUGAGUGACGGUAAUGGGUAAAGAAGCACCGGCUAACUACGUG